rnacentral:sRNA from 1 species
GCUGGGUUCAGUGGCACACACCUGUAAUCCCAGCAUCUUUGGAGGCUGAGGCAGGAAGAUGGCGAGUUCAAAGCCAACAUCAGCAAAAGUGAGGUGUUAAGCAACUCAGUGAGUUCCUGUCUCUA